UCUGAAGUGCAGAAUACUUUUAUACUCACAUUGCACUACAAAAAUAAGCAUGCUUUGUAAAAAUAGAACACUUGUUCAGUUUCUUUGUCAGCAGUAAUCAAUACAUGAGGAGAGGCUGGUGCUACAGUGUAUAGGUAACUUGCUGUCUAUUUGCUGUAUGAAAUGUAUCCUAACUACCUUGCAGGUAAGAGAGCUAGAGGGGAGAAAACCAGGCCUGGGACAAUACAGGAAUCCACUCCUUCCGUGUCUUCUGAACUUGAAGGUGUUGGCAUCUGCUGAAUGUGUCAUAGUGAAGGAGAAAGCCAGCUUGAUGCAGCUGGGAGCAUGCUGUUACUGCAAGGGCUUUGGGUUCUGAACAAGAGUGAAGGGGUAGUAUGAGAGCAACAACUGUUAAGGCUUUGUCCCACCUAGCAGCUCCAUUAUAAGGUAAGAUAAAGCUGCUGACUGAUGGAAGCAGCUUCACAAUGCUUAAUUUUAUGGAGAAAUGAAAUGAUUUCUACUUCAGUUUGUUCAGCCCCUCUGAUGUUUUUCCCCACCUCUUACCGUAGCACAGGCAAGUUACAGCACACAGUCAACAUCAACAGUUUAGCUUGGCAUAAUGUAUAUAAAUAAAUUAUAUUAAUUUAAUCAAAUGUAAGAGACUUUAAAUAAAUGAAAUGCUAGAGUAACACCUCCUGUCAAGUCACUUUCCAGCAGAAAUACUGAGCAGCGUGGCUUCCUGUUCACCCAUGUAUUCCCUGCCUUCUCAACGCCCACAACCUUCAGGUCUUGACAGGGAUAGUUUGUUUGCAUCCAGCACUGCUGCCAUCAGCUUCAGGUAAGCCCACGGAGUACUCCGUGGUGGCAAUGAGCAACAUGUCCAGUGUUGUCUCAGUACACUUAGCUAUAAAGCGUAUGAAAGGCCUCACAUCGCCCUCGUUGGCCACUUCUAAGACAUGGUAAUACUCUGCCCGUUGCUCCUUGCGGAUGGUGAUGGGUGGGUAACCUGCCUGCAUCAGGAUGAGGUUCAUUAGCAGACGUGAGGUCCUCCCAUUGCCAUCUAUAAAAGGAUGAACGUAAACCAACUUGUAGUGGGCUAACGCAGCAAAUUCCACAGGGUGCAAACUCAUGGCAUCUUCAGAGUUAAGCCACUGCACAAAUUCCUGCAUCUGUUUCCCAACGUCCUGGGGGUGAGGGGGUAUGUGAUGCCCUACAAACACCUGCGUAGUCCUGAACCGCCCCGCCUCCACGGGGUCAGCAUAGCCCAGCACUCUCCGGUGUAUCUCCAGGAUGUCAGUGAUGGUAACAGAGCCUAUUCGGGAUACCAGCGUGGUAUUGACGUAUUUCAAAGCUGCAUGCAUGCCAAUCACCUCAUUCUGCUCCACUAAACUUUUUCCAGGAACAGCGUAUCUGGUCUCGAUGAUGUGUCGAAUUUCUGACAGCGUCAGAGUGUUCCCUUCAAUAGCAACCGUGUGGUAGAUGUGGUGAUAGUAGGACUCCUCCAUCACUCGGCGCAGGGCGGAAUUGCCUUUGGGGAUCGCCAUCACUUUUUUAACCUUGCUGUCAAUAAUGCUAAAAUACCUCUGAUCGAUUUCUUCAACUAAAGGCAACGUCCGGUCCCGAUUGAUCAAAGCCUUCUCGUUGCAGGGAGAAAGGGUUAGUGCUUUGGAGUACAAAUAGUCUGCUUGAAGAAUGUCUUUUUCCUCUUCAGAAAAAAUGCCAAAUUCAUUCAGGGCAUCCACG
rnacentral:lncRNA from 1 species